GACGAACGCUGGCGGCGUGCCUAAUACAUGCAAGUAGAACGCUGAAGAGAGGAGCUUGCUCUUCUUGGAUGAGUUGCGAACGGGUGAGUAACGCGUAGGUAACCUGCCUGGUAGCGGGGGAUAACUAUUGGAAACGAUAGCUAAUACCGCAUGAUAUUAAUUAUUGCAUGAUAAUUAAUUGAAAGAUGCAAUUGCAUCACUACCAGAUGGACCUGUGUUGUAUUAGCUAGUUGGUGAGGUAACGGCUCGCCAAGGCGACGAUACAUAGCCGACCUGAGAGGGUGAUCGGCCACACUGGGACUGAGACACGGCCCAGACUCCUACGGGAGGCAGCAGUAGGGAAUCUUCGGCAAUGGGGGGAACCCUGACCGAGCAACGCCGCGUGAGUGAAGAAGGUUUUCGGAUCGUAAAGCUCUGUUGUAAGAGAAGAACGGGUGUGAGAGUGGAAAGUUCACACUGUGACG
rnacentral:rRNA from 1 species